AGGAGGUAAGCACAACCACGGGUGGAGAAGGUCCAGCAGCACCAGGUCCUCUGUGCAGAUAGAACUUGAUUAAAGCUGGCUGCCAGACAGAGCUAGCCUGCGUGUGUGGCCACUUCAAGCCAGGCAGAAGCAGCUCCCAGGCCCUCGUGGGUCCACUGCACUGUGGAAUCGGACCCUUAGACCCUCUGAAUCCUAGAAGAAAAGAGUUCUUAUCAGGUGUGGGAAGAACCAAAGAUGGAGAUCGAGCAGUAUAAAAAGCAAAGCAUCCC
rnacentral:lncRNA from 1 species